AACGAACGCUGGCGGCAUGCCUAACACAUGCAAGUCGAACGAGACCUUCGGGUCUAGUGGCGCACGGGUGCGUAACGCGUGGGAACCUGCCCUUAGGUUCGGAAUAACUCCCCGAAAGGGGUGCUAAUACCGGAUAAUGUCUUCGGACCAAAGAUUUAUCGCCUUUGGAUGGGCCCGCGUUGGAUUAGCUAGUUGGUAGGGUAAAAGCCUACCAAGGCGACGAUCCAUAGCUGGUCUGAGAGGGUGAUCGGCCACACUGGGACUGAGACACGGCCCAGACUCCUACGGGAGGCAGCAGUGGGGAAUAUUGGACAAUGGGCGAAAGCCUGAUCCAGCAAUGCCGCGUGAGUGAUGAAGGCCUUAGGGUUGUAAAGCUCUUUUACCCGGGAUGAUAAUGACAGUACCGGGAGAAUAAGCUCCGGCUAACUCCGUG
rnacentral:rRNA from 1 species